UGUACAUAUUUCAGACUCCUAGCUGCUGCAUUAUAUCCAUGCUAACUUAGGAACUGUACCUCUUCACACAGGGCAGUUAAUGGAUCUGAGAGACUUGGAAUCAGUUGCAGCCUAGACUCUCCCUCCUGGAAACCUGACUCCAGCUCUGUGUGGCUGGCUCAAGCAGCGAAGAAAAAAGAAAAGAAAAGAAAGAAAAACAAGAAAAACCCGAUUGAGCUGCCACUGAAGUGCCGCCGAAGAGGAAGACGGAGUGAAGGACCUGCCACCGAAUUGCCGCUGAAGACUAAAGCAGAGCGUUUGAGCUGCCGCCAAAGUGCAGCCCCAAUAACGGACGGAGUGCUGCCCCUUUCUAUUGGCCGCCCAGGCACCUGCUUCCUUCGCUGGUGCCUGGAACCACCCCUGCCACUAUAAAUUCUUCAGGGUGGGGACUAUCUCUGUGUGUUUGUCCAGCACCUAGCAGAGCGGGGUGGGGCCUUUUGGCACUGCUGCAGUCAAUAACAGUCAUCUUUGGCUGUUCUAAAGGCAUGUCAGAGACACUAUCGGAAACAAACAUCAUGGGGAAAAAUGAAACAAAAAUGACGUGAAAAUAAUAACAGAGUAAAAACACUGUGCUGAACUCUGUUUCCCACGUGUGCCCCGUUGCGGCGUUGCUGGGGGCAGAACUGACCCACUGCACUCACAAGCACCAGCAAGGGGUUCCAAGAAUUCUACCCCUCGGCAAGAGAUGAUAAGGGACAGAAAAUGUAAACACCGGGGACAACAUUCCCUUUGCAACUGGAACUCCAGUACUGGCUGCCUGGGAGAGCCACAGGAAUCCCCGAGCUCGAGCAAGGGUUGGCAAAAGUGCAGCACAAGCAGAGGGAGGAACAUUUGCAAGUCUAUAAUAAAACACAUACAGACUGCUGGCCACAGGCAUCCCCACUGUAAGCAUAUGUUUCCCUUUAAAGAACAUUCCAGGACCAGGCUUUAUGAUGAGAGAUGAGGCCAAAACUAAACGGUGACGGUUGAAUUUGAAUUUCUUGAUCUGAUUCUGUCCACAUGUUUUUCAGAGGAAGGAUGUUCCAAAAGCACAAGGUGUCUAUUUCCAGUUCCAAACUCUCCUGCUAACAGCGUGUUUCACAAGAUGUAUUCUUUAGAAAGCCCUUGAAAUGUGCCAGACAAAACGGAAGAGAAGAUUCCUGUCCCAAUUUCUGCCAUUUGGGGCUGAAAUCCUUGCUCUAAUUGGAGCCAGAAUCCCAGCUCUGAUUCAGUCUUAAACCCCAAAUGAGAUCCGAGCAUGCUUCCCUAGCUCCUUUCUAAUUCGGAAAGCUAUUCUCAGUGCUCAGCACGCUCUAAAGAAAACCUUUCGUUGCCAUUUCAUUUGAGUGCAGGAUCUCAGGAACAGACGCGGCUGACCAGCCCCAUCAGCUCCAGGGGGGCUGAUGCAUAGGUCUUCAACACACCUGAAUUAAAUUAACUCCAGCAAGUGACAUUUAUUAGCUAUGGAAAGGCAGGUGGCGGCAGUGGGGAGAAUCAGGGGAAGGAACACAAGUUGAUGACAACUUACAAGGAAUGAAGUGUUUGGUUUUAAUGACACAACAAUUGACAAAGUAUUUUAAUGGUACUCUGUACGUAUACACUGCUCAUUAUCCAACAUGUUUAUACUGCUGAACAGGGUAAUAAUGCUGACAGAUCCCAGCUGCCUAGCUUAACGCUGGGGCAACAGCAGAUCUUUCCCUCCUGAUGCUAUUUGUUAAUACAUUUUUCACUAGAUCCAAAUUAGCCUUCUGGCUCCAAAGGAGAAAUCGUUUCACUAAUAGGUCCCCUGAGCAGAAAAUCCACCACAGAGUUGCAUGUAAUAAGUAGCUGUACUUUGAACCAGACAUUUAAAAAGUGUGUUCUUAGGUCAAGUGUGCUGGCUAAAAUUGAGAAAUCAGCAUCUCAACAAGCAAUGUUACCCUCGCAGCCCCAGAGAGAUUUCCAGCAGACAGGAGAUUGUCUAGUACCAAGGCACAUGCAUAUGUUUCUCUGACAGAAGGUGAAAGGAGCAAGGAAUAAACAAAAUGCCUGUUACAUAAAAGAGCAUUAUGCCUGCA